GACGAACGCUGGCGGCGCGCCUAACACAUGCAAGUCGAACGAGCGAGAGAGAGCUUGCUUUCUCGAGCGAGUGGCGAACGGGUGAGUAACGCGUGAGGAACCUGCCUCAAAGAGGGGGACAACAGUUGGAAACGACUGCUAAUACCGCAUAAGCCCACGGCUCGGCAUCGAGCAGGGGGAAAAGGAGCAAUCCGCUUUGAGAUGGCCUCGCGUCCGAUUAGCUAGUUGGUGGGGUAACGGCCCACCAAGGCGACGAUCGGUAGCCGGACUGAGAGGUUGAACGGCCACAUUGGGACUGAGACACGGCCCAGACUCCUACGGGAGGCAGCAGUGGGGAAUAUUGCACAAUGGGGGAAACCCUGAUGCAGCGACGCCGCGUGGAGGAAGAAGGUCUUCGGAUUGUAAACUCCUGUUGUUGGUGAAGAUAAUGACGGUACCCAACAAGGAAGUGACGGCUAACUACGUG
rnacentral:rRNA from 1 species